rnacentral:rRNA from 1 species
CAGUCGAGGGGUAGAGGAAGCUUGCUUCCUUGAGACCGGCGCACGGGUGCGUAACGCGUAUGCAAUCUACCUUUUACAGGGGAAUAGCCCAGAGAAAUUUGGAUUAAUGCCCCAUAGUGUAAUUGAAUGGCAUCAUUUGAUUACUAAAGUUCCAACGGUAAAAGAUGAGCAUGCGUCCUAUUAGCUAGUUGGUGUGGUAACGGCACACCAAGGCAACGAUAGGUAGGGGUCCUGAGAGGGAGAUCCCCCACACUGGUACUGAGACACGGACCAGACUCCUACGGGAGGCAGCAGUGAGGAAUAUUGGACAAUGGGCGCAAGCCUGAUCCAGCCAUGCCGCGUGCAGGAAGAAGCAUCUAUGGUGUGUAAACUGCUUUUGUACGGGAAGAAACACUCCUACGUGUAGGAGCUUGACGGUACCGUAAGAAUAAGGAUCGGCUAACUCCGUGCCAGCAGCCGCGGUAAUACGGAGGAUCCAAGCGUUAUCCGGAAUCAUUGGGUUUAAAGGGUCCGUAGGCGGUUUAAUAAGUCAGUGGUGAAAUCUGGUCGCUCAACGAUCAAACGGCCAUUGAUACUGUUAGACUUGAAUUACUAGGAAGUAACUAGAAUAUGUAGUGUAGCGGUGAAAUGCUUAGAUAUUACAUGGAAUACCAAUUGCGAAGGCAGGUUACUACUAGUGGAUUGACGCUGAUGGACGAAAGCGUGGGGAGCGAACAGGAUUAGAUACCCUGGUAGUCCACGCCGUAAACGAUGGAUACUAGCUGUUGGGAGCAAUCUCAGUGGCUAAGCGAAAGUGAUAAGUAUCC